UUUGCUUGAUUGAGUCAAUAUUCAGUGAUACCUAGCAGGAGUUUAGCAGUGUCCUGGAGAAUUGGUUUCCAAAGAUCAGGGUCCUUGCCCUGGAGGUCCUUAUAGUUUCAUGGGGGAGCCAGACCAAUCUGUUCAAUCUAGGAAGAUUUAUUAAGUGCCUACAAUGUGCCAAAAAAAGUUCUAGAUGUUUGGGUUACAGCAGUACACAAAAUAGACAAAUAUCCCCGUGUCCCCAAAAUCUUAUUCCCUCAGAAGCACUAAAGGGUGAACAUAUUAAUAAUUUAUGGGUCAUCUGAUCCAGACACAUGUCCAGUCUCUGUCAAUAGUAUUUGGGGUUGGAAUAUACCAUAACUCCUUGUUAUGUACUAUGAUAUUUUUAUUCCACCCUCCCCCAAAAGUAAAGUAAAGUAAAGUAAAGUAAAGUAAAGUAAAGAAGUAAACUAAAGUAAAAGUGGAGGCAUUAGGAUGGAAGAGAGGUAAUAGGAUGUGGUCCCAAAAAUGGCACCCCUAGUGUGCCAUAGCAACACAGCCUUGUAAUUGUGAGGUAGAUCCAUGAUGUCACUGUGUCCUAGAGGAUUCAUAAGGGUGGAGGACCAGGGUGACUAUCACCCUUCAUCCCCAGCUCAGCUAACUACCAUCCUCACCACCAAGCUAUCUUGAAGUUCUCUUCAUUCACUUAAAUUCUAUUUUGAGUGUCUUUUUUCUUAUUAAUUUCAAGCAAACUGAGAACCUUGAGCUUCAAUUUCCUGUCCAGCCCUGAGAGUCAAAGGUAGCUUUGAGCUGAGACUAUUCGUCCAUGGAUCCUCCACGUAAAGUUACCCCACCUUUUAAUUCUGAUUCAUUGCUGAUUCCACCAAAAGAAAUGUCCCAGAAACUUACAUCAACUUCCCAAUCAUCUUUCUCCAAAGUGCAAAACCUGGAUCGUAUUAACGUUAGCCUCAGUUUUAAUAGCAACUACCUCACCCCUCUACCAGAGGAAACGAUCCAACAGCAAUACAGAGAUGAGAUGAGCCAACAUGAGAGGCAGUGGGAGAAGUCAGAGUUCCCUCAGAGGAAAAAGACAUUCAUGGAGAACAUGAGACAGAAAAGUUACUAUCACAUGGCACCUUAUCGGGUUGAAAGGGAAGGAAAGAUCUAUUUCUCACAUGAUAGAGAUCAGAAUAAGUGUAAAUGCCAUUAUUGCCUCAUUCAAAGGGAAGCUAUUUCCGGGAACUCUAAAGGGCAAAAUGCAUCCUCUUGGAAAAUGCUAGUAGAAGGCUUUAGCCACUUGAACAUCAACUCUGAUACCACAGAGUCCCGCUGUCCAUCAGAAAAGCUUCCACAGGAGUAGAAAAGAAAGAAGAGCCAUCAAGAGAGGGAGAAGAAAAUCAAACAGUUCUUCAGAGGCCCUGAAAACAAUAAUUGAAAUAAACCGAAACUCAUCCUCAUGUGAUGAGAUCAGAAUUAA